GAAGGGGGCUAGCGUUGUUCGGAAUUACUGGGCGUAAAGCGCGCGCAGGCGGUCUUCCAAGUCAGUGGUGAAAGCCCGGAGCUCAACUCCGGAACUGCCAUUGAAACUGUAAGACUUGAGGAUGAGAGAGGUGAGUGGAAUUCCCAGUGUAGAGGUGAAAUUCGUAGAUAUUGGGAAGAACACCGGUGGCGAAGGCGGCUCACUGGCUCAUUACUGACGCUCAGGCGCGACAGCGUGGGGAUCAAACAGGAUUAGAUACCCUGGUAGUCCACGCCGUAAACGAUGAAUGCUAGCCGUUGGGCAGCUUGCUGUUCAGUGGCGCAGCUAACGCAUUAAGCAUUCCGCCUGGGGAGUACGGCCGCAAGGUUG
rnacentral:rRNA from 1 species